rnacentral:rRNA from 1 species
UCGAGAAUCUUCGGCAAUGGGCGCAAGCCUGACCGAGCGACGCCGCGUGGAGGAUGAAGGCCUUCGGGUUGUAAACUCCUGUCAGGGGGGAGGAAAUCCAGGCAGGCUAUCCUGUCUGGUUGACCUAUCCCCAGAGGAAGCACGGGCUAAGUUCGUGCCAGCAGCCGCGGUAAGACGAACCGUGCAAACGUUGUUCGGAAUCACUGGGCUUAAAGGGCGCGUAGGCGGUUUGCUAAGUCGGUGGUGAAAUACUUCGGCUCAACCGGAGAAUUGCCGCUGAAACUAGCAGGCUGGAGGGAGGUAGAGGUGCACGGAACUUCCGGUGGAGCGGUGAAAUGCGUUGAUAUCGGAAGGAACGCCUGUGGCGAAAGCGGUGCACUGGACCUCUUCUGACGCUGAGGCGCGAAAGCCAGGGGAGCAAACGG